AACAGGAAGAUGAACAGAACUGAAUUUUAGGACCUAACUCCUGAUGAGCUGGACUUUAUCUUGGCAGGAGUUUUUGGAGACUGAUGCAGUGACAGCCAAUGGCUUCAGAAUCCAUGGUCCCUGAGCAGUCAAAACAACAGCUGAUAAAGGGAAAAAGGUGGCAGCAGCAGCAGCAAACUCAGCCUUCCAUCAGUGAUGAGGAUGUCUUCGUGUUUGAGGCCAACGAGGCUUGGAAGGAUUUUCACAGCUCUCUUCUUCACUUCUUUGAAGCUGGAGAGCUCUGUGAUGUUACACUGAAGGUUGGUUCAAAGCUAAUCUCCUGCCACAAACUGGUGCUGGCUUGCGUUAUCCCGUACUUCCGAGCCAUGUUUCUUUCGGAAAUGGCUGAAGCCAAGCAGAAGCUGAUUGAGAUCAGGGACUUUGACGGCGAUGCCAUCGAGGACCUGGUGAAGUUCGCGUACUCCUCGCGGCUCACGCUGACGGUGGACAACGUGCAGCCCCUGCUGUACGCCGCCUGCAUCCUGCAGGUAGAGCUGGUGGCCAAGGCCUGCUGUGAGUACAUGAAGCUGCACUUCCACCCCUCCAACUGCCUGGCAGUCAGGGUGUUUGCCGAGAGCCACAACCGUGUCGACCUGAUGAACAUGGCCGAUCAGUUUGCUUGUGAGCAUUUCACAGAAGUGGUGGAGUGCGAGGACUUUGUGAGUGUGUCACCACAGCACCUCCAUAAACUCCUGUCCUCCAGUGACCUGAAUAUUGAAAAUGAAAAGCAAGUUUACAAUGCUGCUAUCAAGUGGCUGCUGGCCAAUCCACAACAUCAUGCUACGUGGCUGGAUGAGAUCCUUGCACAGGUACGGCUGCCUCUCUUGCCCAUUUCUUUCCUUAUGGGUGUUGUGGCAAAGGAAGAGAUUGUCAAGCAGAAUCUAAAAUGUAGGGAUUUGCUGGAUGAAGCAAGGAACUACCACCUUCACCUGAGCAGCAGGGCAGUGCCUGACUUUGAGUACUCCAUUCGCACAACACCAAGGAAGCAGACUGCUGGUGUGCUGUUCUGUGUGGGAGGCAGAGGUGGAUCAGGUGACCCCUUCCGCAGCAUUGAGUGUUACUCCAUCAGUAAGAACAGCUGGUUCUUCGGCCCAGAAAUGAACAGCAGGAGGAGGCAUGUGGGUGUGAUCUCUGUGGGAGGUAAAGUCUACGCAGUAGGUGGACAUGAUGGAAAUGAGCACUUAGGAAGCAUGGAAGUAUUUGAUCCUCUCACAAACAAGUGGAUGAUGAAGGCAUCAAUGAACACAAAGAGGAGAGGCAUCGCCCUGGCAUCCCUGGGCGGCCCCAUUUAUGCCAUUGGGGGCCUGGAUGACAACACGUGCUUCGGCGACGUGGAGCGCUACGACAUCGACUCGGACUGCUGGAGCACCGUGGCCUCCAUGAACACUCCCCGCGGGGGCGUCGGCUCCGUGGCGCUGGUGAACCAUGUUUACGCCGUGGGUGGCAAUGAUGGUGUAGCAUCUCUUUCCAGUGUGGAGAAAUAUGAUCCCCACUUGGAUAAGUGGAUAGAAGUGAAAGAGAUGGGUCAGCGAAGGGCUGGGAACGGUGUUAGUGAGCUCCACGGCUGCUUGUAUGUUGUUGGUGGGUUUGAUGACAACUCGCCCCUGAGCUCGGUGGAGCGGUUUGACCCACGCUGUAACAAAUGGGAAUACGUGGCAGAGCUCACGACUCCAAGGGGUGGUGUUGGCAUAGCAACACUGAUGGGAAAAAUUUUUGCAGUUGGAGGUCAUAAUGGCAACGUGUACCUGAAUACAGUGGAAGCAUUUGAUCCCAUAGUGAACAGGUGGGAGCUCGUGGGCUCGGUGUCGCACUGCAGGGCAGGGGCAGGCGUGGCCGUGUGCUCCUGUCUCAGCAGCCAGAUCCGGGACAUGGGCCAGGGAUCCAGCAACGUUGUGGAUUGCAUGUGAGCUCUGCCACCUCCAAAUUCCAAAGGAAUGCUGCAAGGGAGGCACCACAGAGCUUCUAAACACUGUGUUUUGUAUGUGAUACAGAAAAGCCUGUGAGAACAUGGAAUAAAAGUGUGACCCACAAGAAGAAACCUGCCAAGAACUGCAAUCAUCCCAUUUCUGAGAAGCUACGAUUUCAAAAUCAUUUGAGGCAGCUGUUGCAAGGACUCAAUAUUGAGCUGUAAAUCAGGCAUGUGCUAAGGAGAGCAGCAGCAGCUACUGCUACAUGUUCUCUC